CCAAGGAGUCUAACAUGUGCGCGAGUCAUUGGGACUUGUUCAUGCCCAAAGGCGAAAUGAAAGUGAAGGACGGCGGCAGUCGUCUUCGUUGGGACCCGCUUCUUCGGGAGCGGAGCACCAACGGCCCGUCCCGAUCGCUUUGUCGAUGGGGCGGAGCGAGAGCGUACACGUUGGGACCCGAAAGAUGGUGAACUAUGCCUGGGCAGGACGAAGCCAGAGGAAACUCUGGUGGAGGUCCGCAGCGAUUCUGACGUGCAAAUCGAUCGUCAGACCUGGGUAUAGGGGCGAAAGACUAAUCGAACCAUCUAGUAGCUGGUUCCCUCCGAAGUUUCCCUCAGGAUAGCUGGCGCUCUUUGGAGGCAUUCUCAUCCGGUAAAGCGAAUGAUUAGAGGCCUUGGGGCCGAAACGACCUCAACCUAUUCUCAAACUUUAAAUGGGUGAGAAGUCCGGCUUGCUCGACUGAAGCCCGGACGGUCUUGGAUGCGAGUGCCCAGUGGGCCACUUUUGGUAAGCAGAACUGGCGCUGUGGGAUGAACCAAACGCCGGGUUAAGGCGCCCGAUGCGAGACGCUCACGAGACCCCAUGAAAGGUGUUGGUUGCUAUAGACAGCAGGACGGUGGCCAUGGAAGUCGGAAUCCGCUAAGGAGUGUGUAACAACUCACCUGCCGAAGCAACUAGCCCUGAAAAUGGAUGGCGCUUCAGCGUCGAGCCCAUACCCGGCCGUCGCGACUGGUGGUUACAUUUGGUCGCGACGAGUAGGAGGGCGCAGGGGUGUGCGUUGAAGGUACCGGGAGCAAUCCCGUCUGGAGCCACCCCUGGUGCAGAUCUUGGUGGUAGUAGCAAAUACUCAAGUGAGAACCUUGAGGACUGAGGUGGAGAAGGGUUCCAUGUGAACAGCAGUUGAACAUGGGUCAGUCGGUCCUAAGGAAUAGGGGAAAUCCGUUACGAAGCGGGACCUUGUACAUGCGAUACUGGUCCCGCAUUGGACCGAAAGGGAAUCGGGUUAAUAUUCCCGAACCCGGACACGGAGAUCGACCCCUCACGGGGUUCAGUGCGGUAACGCAAACGACCUCGGAGACGUCGACGGGAGUCCCGGAACGAGUUGUCUUUUCUUUGUAAGGGCUCGGCUCCCUGGAAUCGGCUCACCCGGAGAUAGGGAUGCUGUCCCCGUAAAGCACCGCGCCUCUUGCGGUGUCCGGAGCACCCCCGUCGGCCCUUGAAAAUCCGAGCGAGAGAUAGUGAUUUUCGUGCCGGACCGUACCCAUA
rnacentral:rRNA from 1 species